GGAAGCAUGGCAGAGUCUGGCUUAUUGCGCCGCACUUGAAAUGCGGAGGUCGUCGGAAGACGAUCCGUGGGUUCGAAUCCUACUGCUUCCU
rnacentral:tRNA from 1 species